UAGAGUUUGAUCCUGGCUCAGGAUGAACGCUGGCGGCGUGCCUAAUACAUGCAAGUCGAACGGGAGGCAACACUUCGGUGUUGCCAAGAGUGGCGGACGGGUGAGGAACACGUAGCUGACCUGCCGUUGGUUGGGGGAUAACACCGGGAAACCGGUGCUAAAACCGCGUACGCUCAUUGGGGUUAGAGACCCGGUGAGGAAAACGAUGAGUGACCAACGAGGGGGCUGCGGGCCAUCAGGUAGUUGGUGAGGUAAUGGCUCACCAAGCCAGCGACGGCUAGGGGACCUGAGAGGGUGACCCCCCACACUGGAACUGAGACACGGUCCAGACUCCUACGGGAGGCAGCAGUAAGGGAUAUUGCACAAUGGGCGCAAGCCUGAUGCAGCAACGCCGCGUGCAGGAAGAAGGGCUUCGGCUCGUAAACUGCUUUUCUGCGGGACGAUAAUGACGGUACCGCAGGAAGAAGUCUCGGCUAACUACGUGCCAGCAGCCGCGGUAAAACGUAGGAGGCGAGCGUUAUCCGGAUUUACUGGGCGUAAAGGGCGUGCAGGUGGCUUGCUAAGUGGUGCGUGAAAGCGCCCGGCUCAACCGGGCGAGGCCGUGCCAAACUGGCAGACUAGAAACAGGCAGAGGAAAGUGGAAUUCGGGGUGUAGUGGUGAAAUGCGUAAGAUCCCCGGAGGGAACUUCCUUGUGGCCGAAGGCGACCUUUCCUGGGCCCUGGCUUUUGACACCUCACACGCGAAAGCAUGGGGAGCGACGGGAAUAGAACCCGGGAGUCCAAUGCCGUAAAACGAUGUCCAACUGGGGCGUUUUGUCCCGCAAGGGAUGAGUGCCGCAGCUAACGCGCUAAGUGGACCGGCCUGGGGAGUACGACCGCAAGGUUAAAACUCAAAGGAAUUGACGGGGGCCCGCACAAGCAGCGGAGCGUGUGGUUUAAUUCGAGGCUACACGAAGACCUUACCCAGGUUUGACAUAGGCGUGGUAGGGAACCGAAAGGGGACCGACCUUCGGGAGCGUCUACAGGUGCUGCAUGGCUGUCGUCAGCUCGUGUCGUGAGAUGUUCGGUUAAGUCCGGUAACGAGCGCAACCCUCGCCGUCAGUUACAUGUGUCUGGCGGGACUGCCCGGAGGAACUGGGAGGAAGGUGGGGAUGACGUCAAGUCAGCAUGGCCUUUAUAUCUGGGGCGACACACACGCUACAAUGGUCGGUACAAUGGGCAGCCAAGUCGCGAGACGGAGCCAAUCCAAUCAAAACCGGCCUCAGUUCGGAUUGCAGGCUGCAACUCGCCUGCAUGAAGUCGGAGUUGCUAGUAAACGCGCAUCAGCCAUGGCGCGUUGAAUACGUUCCCGGGCCUUGUACACACCGCCCGUCACGUCAUGGGAGCUGGUCACGCCUGAAGCCGGUGGGCAAACCUUACGGAUGCAGCCGUCAAAGGCAGGGCUGGUGACUGGGACGAAGUCGUAACAAGGUAGCUGUAGCGGAAGCUGCGGCUGGAUCACCUCCUUA
rnacentral:rRNA from 1 species